GUUUCGGUUUUAUAUGUUUUCUCGCUAUUAUGAGUUUAUUUCUAUAAAUAAUUUAUCGUUUUUACGUGUUUAAAACCGUUCACAUUUAAUUUGCAGGUAUGGAUCUGAGUAACAAUAGUCCUUCAUUUUUAAAGCUGAUUGAGGACGAUGAUCUUAUUUUUUUGUCUGAUGUGGGUGGGGCAAGGUUCCGUGGCUUGGUUGUAACUCCGUCAUUCCACCGCGUCAAGAGGUAGUCAUUUUUACGCGGUCACGGAUUUGCAAAUGAGUGGGAUUUGCCAUCUCCGGCGUUAGUUGCAGAUCUGUCACACACGUACAUACACUGCGUUUCUCUCUGUUAUUUUGAUCUUAAUCGCCGCCUCCCUGUUAUUUUGCUCUUAAUUGCAAAGGUUUGCUGAUGAAACACGGUCACGGAAUUGAAGCAACUUAGUUUGGACUAUUAACAACUUAUCAUUUGUUUAUGGCUGCUUUCCAGUAUACGACGUCGUUGACAUUUUCGGGAUCUUACAAGGACCGAGGAAGUGGAGGAGGUAGGGGUUCAGGUACUACAAGUUAUAGGGGGUCUACGGUGAGGCCAAGUUUAGACACGAACAAUCAUAUAAAGUUUUUCUACGGUUUGGAUUCGCUGAAACUCGAGCUUAAUCGAUUGGAAAUUGAAGUCACAGGUGAUUAAUACAAAAUGAUUUUUUGGAUUAAUUGAAUCUUUUUUUUUGUUUUUGAAUGUUGAU
rnacentral:lncRNA from 1 species